GCUAGCGUUGUCCGGAUUUAUUGGGCGUAAAGAGCGUGUAGGCGGCCAGGUAGGUCUGGUGUGAAAACUCGAGGCUUAACCUCGAGAUGUCAUCGGAAACCAUCUGGCUAGAGUCCGGAAGAGGAGAGUGGAAUUCCUGGUGUAGCGGUGAAAUGCGCAGAUAUCAGGAAGAACACCAAUGGCGAAAGCAGCUCUCUGGGACGGUACUGACGCUGAGACGCGAAAGCGUGGGGAGCGAACAGG
rnacentral:rRNA from 1 species